rnacentral:rRNA from 1 species
UUAUGGAUGGACUCGCGUCCAAUUAGCUAGUAGGCGGGGUAACGGCCCACCUAGGCGACGAUUGGUAGCCGAACUGAAGGUUGAUCGGCCACAUUGGGACUGAGACACGGCCCAGACUCCUACGGGAGGCAGCAGUGGGGAAUAUUGCGCAAUGGGGGCAACCCUGACGCAGCAACGCCGCGUGAAGGAUGAAGGCUUUCGGGUCGUAAACUUUUGUCAUAAGGGACGCGGUACCUUAUGAGGAAGCCACGGCUAACUACGUGCCAGCAGCCGCGGUAAUACGUAGGUGGCGAGCGUUGUCCGGAAUUACUGGGUGUAAAGGGCGCGUAGACGGGUAAGUAAGUCAGAUGUGAAAUACCGGGGCUCAACUCCGGGGCUGCAUUUGAAACUAUUUAUCUUGAGUGCAGAGAGGGAAGCGAAUUCCUAGUGUAGCGGUGAAAUGCGUAGAUAUUAGGAGGAACACCAGUGGCGAAGGCGGCUUUCUGGACUGUAACUGACGUUGAGGCGCGAAAGCGUGGGUAGCAAACAGGAUUAGAUACCCUGGUAGUCCACGCUGUAAACGAUGAUUACUAGGUGUGGGUCCGUGCCGGAGUUAAACAAUAAGUAAUCCACCUGGGGAG